rnacentral:rRNA from 1 species
CAAGCAAUCUCUGGCUUGGUUAGUACUUGGAUGGGUGACCGCUUGGGAAUACCAAGUGUGAUAAGCA